UGUCUAUUUUAACUUGUCAGUGACAUGGCUCGUGUGAAUAUGAACCUUCUGCAUUGUUUCAGCACCGGGGUGUCAGAGUACUGGCCUGCGACGUGUUUUUUAAUCAUUAUUAAAUCCUCAACCCGCAUAAAAUCUGAAUUUGUGUGAAUUGGGAACACUGAAUGUAACGGACAUUUAAUGUCAUUAUAAUAGAAUAUUUAUGUGUGACAGAUAUUAACAUCCAUGGACACUGUUACCUGUCAAUUUUCAACAGUGUAUGUCAAUUGAAUAAGGAGAGCAGCUUCUUAAAAAUGUCUCCAUGCAUGGAGUUUAAGUAUUUCAUUUGAUAUUUGUUGGGAUGCAAACUGUUCUUUAUUGUUUAGUUACUUUUAAACUAGUCAUGCAAACGUAAAGGUAAAUACCACUUUGUGGUUCCUACAUGACUUGUUUGACAAAAAUCUGUUAAUAUGAAAUGAAUCAGCUGACAGUCGCCCUUUUACAGGGAUCACAUGACAAUCAGGAGAUGGAGCCAUUUUCACCUGCUGAUCACAAUGAGCCAAACACAGAGGUUACAGAGGAGAGCAGCACUGAAAUCUGAUGGAUUCUAACCACACUGUAUUGUUGUCCGAUUGCCUACAGUCUUACGUUUCCAAGUCCUGUUGUAUAACCAAGCUGGUCAGAUGAACAGUCACCAGAUUAUCAAUGAUCUGUUACAUUUAAUUUUAUUUGACUUGAAAGACUUUUCUGGGUAGCAGAUGGACAUUUGCUUGUACAGACUGGCAUGGAAAAGUGUAUCUGCAAAGACUCAUACUGGGAAGAACCAGUAACUCAGGACAACCUGCCAGUCUUUUGUAAAUAUGUGUGUGUGAUUUUCUCACCUUUAUUGUGUUCUUUACAGUAUUAAAAUGUACAUUAUAAUUAUCUGUAAUUAUUCUGAAUAAAUUCUCAGUGUUUUU